rnacentral:rRNA from 1 species
UACAUGGGGUGCAAACGUUGCUCGGAAUUAUUGGGCGUAAAGCGCACGUAGGCGGUUUGUUAAGUCGGGGGUGAAAUCCUGGAGCUCAACUCCAGAACUGCCUUCGAUACUGGCGAUCUUGAGUCCGGAAGAGGUGAGUGGAACUCCUAGUGUAGAGGUGGAAUUCGUAGAUAUUAGGAAGAACACCAGUGGCGAAGGCGGCUCACUGGUCCGGUACUGACGCUGAGGUGCGAAAGCGUGGGGAGCAAACAGG